ACUCACGCUGGCGGCGUGCUUCACCCCUGCAAGUCGAGCGAGGCCCCUCCUUCGGGAGGGUGUCCUAGCGGCGAACGGGUGAGUAACACGUGGGCAACCUGCCCUCAGCUCUGGGAUAACUCCGGGAAACCGGGGCUAAUACCGGAUACGACCUCCACGGGCAUCUGCGGAGGUGGAAAGUUUUUCGGCUGAGGAUGGGCCCGCGGCCUAUCAGCUAGUUGGUGGGGUAGUGGCCCACCAAGGCGACGACGGGUAGCCGGCCUGAGAGGGCGACCGGCCACACUGGGACUGAGACACGGCCCAGACUCCUACGGGAGGCAGCAGUGGGGAAUAUUGCGCAAUGGGCGAAAGCCUGACGCAGCGACGCCGCGUGAGGGACGAAGGCCUUCGGGUUGUAAACCUCUUUCAGCAGGGACGAAGCGAAAGUGACGGUACCUGCAGAAGAAGCACCGGCCAACUACGUG
rnacentral:rRNA from 1 species